GGACAGCCGGAAGGGGGGCCGUUACACUGUAAGAGAGUGAGUACCAGGUCUCACAGUGAACCGGUCUCUUUCCCGACUGGAUC
rnacentral:pre_miRNA from 1 species